rnacentral:ncRNA from 1 species
UCGCAGGUGACCGCGAAUCUGAAGGAAGCCCGAGGCAAAAUGCUGGCCUGACGAACAGGAAGCGGAUAGAGGCGGCGCAGCGGGGUAAAGGGGCGUGUUUCCCUAAAGCCCAAUACUUGCACGGGACGCUGCGACGUAGACAGGCAUAAGCAGGAAGGUCGCGCGA